GGUUCCAAUGCUUGGUCCCAGGGUUACCACGUGAUUGAAAUCAGACCAAGGUACUGGUGCUGAAAUCACCGUAUGCAGGUCUGGGGUGGCUGCUGGUGCACGUGCCACUCCUGCCUCUGUCAAGGGGAACUGUGUGAGAUUGAAAGCAAACAGAAGUCACUUAGAAAGAGUCAGAACUUCUGAAUCUAGCUGUGCCUGGAGCUAAUUGAAGCCCUUCUUUGACUUCACAGAUGAUACUUGGAGGAGACGCAUGGAAGAGAGACAUGUAGAGAUACUUGGAGGAGAGACUUGGAAAAGGGACCCAUGGGUGGCUGGAUCCCUUUUAGAAUAUGCACCCUUCACAGUUUGGAAUCCCUGGGUGCCAUUUAGUGGUGCAUUACCACAUAUGUGAU